rnacentral:rRNA from 1 species
UACGUAGGGGGCGAGCGUUGUCCGGAUUUAUUGGGCGUAAAGAGCGUGUAGGCGGCCCGGUAAGUCCGCUGUAAAAGUCAAAGGCUCAACCUUUGAAUGUCAGUGGAUACUGCCGGGCUAGAGUCCGGAAGAGGCGAGUGGAACUCCUGGUGUAGCGGUGGAAUGCGCAGAUAUCAGGAAGAACACCAACGGCGAAGGCAGCUCGCUAGGACGGUACUGACGCUGAGACGCGAAAGCGUGGGGAGCGAACAGG